rfam:Schistosoma rodhaini strain Burundi genome assembly, scaffold: SROB_scaffold0000422
UGCUGAUGAGUCCCAUAAUAGGACGAAACGGCCGUCCA